UAAGAUAGCUAUGUCAAAAGGGGUCC
rnacentral:piRNA from 1 species